rnacentral:rRNA from 1 species
ACGGAAGGUGCAAGCGUUGCUCGGAAUCACUGGGCGUAAAGGGUGCGUAGGCGGCUUCUUAAGUCUGGUGUGAAAGCCCAGGGCUCAGCUCUGGAAGUGCACUAGAUACUGGGAAGCUUGAGUACCGGAGGGGAGAGUGGAAUUCCUGGUGUAGCGGUGAAAUGCGUAGAUAUCAGGAGGAAUACCGGUGGCGAAAGCGACUCUCUGGACGGUUACUGACGCUGAGGCACGAAAGCGUGGGGAGCAAACAGGAUUAGAUACCCUGGUAGUCCACGCCGUAAACGAUGGGCACUAGGUGUCGGGGGUAUCCACUCCCUCGGUGCCGCCGCUAACGCAUUAAGUGUCCCGCCUGGGAAGUACGGUCGCAAGAUUA